rnacentral:tRNA from 1 species
GAUUCUUUAGUAUAUUUAGUACAUUUGACUUCCAAUCAGAGAGAUUUAAGGAUUA